rnacentral:rRNA from 1 species
UGUUCCUACGGGACGCAGCAGUGAGGAAUAUUGGUCGAUGGUCGGGAGACUGAACCAGCCAAGCCGCGUGAGGGAUGAAGGUACAGAGUAUCGUAAACCUCUUUUGUCAGGGAACAAAGGCGGGGACGUGUCCCCGGAUGAGUGUACCUGAAGAAAAAGCAUCGGCUAACUCCGUGCCAGCAGUCGCGGUAAUACGGAGGAUGCGAGCGUUAUCCGGAUUUAUUGGGUUUAGAGGGUGCGCAGGCGGUCUGUUAAGUCAGCGGUCAAAGCCCGGGGCUCAACCCCGGCCCGCCGUUGGAACUGGC